rnacentral:ncRNA from 1 species
CGAACUUGGAGAUAGCUGGUUCUCUCCGAAAUAGCUUUAGGGCUAGCCUCAGAGUAAGAAUGAUGGAGGUAGAGCACUGUUUGGACUAGGGGCCCAUCUCGGGUUACCGAAUUCAGAUAAACUCCGAAUGCCAUCCAUUCAUCUCUGGGAGUCAGACUGUGAGUGAUAAGAUCCAUAGUCGAAAGGGAAACAGCCCAGACCACCAGCUAAGGUCCCAAAAUAACUAUUAAGUGGAAAAGGAUGUGGGGUUGCACAGACAACUAGGAUGUUGGCUCAGAAGCAGCCACCAUUUAAAGAGUGCGUAAUAGCUCACUAGUCGAGUGACCCUGCGCCGAAAAUGUACCGGGGCUAAA